rnacentral:lncRNA from 1 species
GGACUGGUUAAAUAUGUUGAGCCCACCAAUCGUUCCUCCCAGUCAACAGCCGGCUGAGCAGCGUCCAGAUUCCUGUGAAAGUUUGAGUGUUCAAGAUAUUUCACACACUCCUGACCAGGCUGUAACAAGAUGAUUUUUUAGACCCACUUUUCAUCCAAAACAAGGAUGAUUUAAUCCCAGAAAGCUGGAGAGCUUGGAGACAUCCAAGAUGCUGACAAAUGGACCACCGAAGAAAAAGCACUUAGCACAUGCACAUGCUCACCAAAAUGCAAUACCAUGCUAUGGUCGCUCAUUCUGUCCACAAAGAUUGCAGCUUUCUAUGCACUCUAACUGCAUUCUGCCACCUGCACCCUGUGGCCCACUUGAAAUGAAGUUUGACUACAUGACCUGCUUCUUUAGCCAAUAAAAUGUGAGCAGAA